CAACAAAGUAUUUUUUCUGCAGCUCUCAGAACAAAGAGCUAUUAAAAAGUGACCUUACAUUAAAAAUUGGUACAGAAAAAAAUUAAAAUAUGGACAUAAGAUUAUGUUGAAUUUGUUCUACAUAAUAGCUAGGUAAAUGGUUGAAGACAGAAGACUUAUUAUAGAUUUUACAUCCAGCCCAUGAGGAUUUGGACCGAUUCCAUUGAGCAGGUUCAGGUCAGCUAACUCCUUUCCUUCAAAGCAUCCUGGGUGUCUCUGAGCAUCAUUGCAAGCUUGUUCUGGCAGUAAGCCAGGCUUCAAAAGCCUUUCCCUGUGCAGUCACUGACUCACUAAUGGGCAACUGCAGGCUUUCUGAUUUUCCUUUCGUUUCAUGUGUUCAUUUGACAUAAAUUUAAUUAAACCAAAUCUGGUGUUAAAGCAAGAAGAGAUAAAAGUGAUAUGUCGCAAAUUAAAGAACUGUGAAAGAUACAGGAAA